rnacentral:rRNA from 1 species
AGCACGUGGUUUAAUUCGAUGCUAACCGCAGAACCUUACCCGGGUUUGACAUCUUCAAAAUACGAUAGAGAUAUUGUAGUGCUUACUUUCAGUAAGAAUUGAAUGACAGGUGCUGCAUGGCUGUCGUCAGCUCGUGCCGUGAGGUGUUGGGUUAAGUCCCGCAACGAGCGCAACCCUUGUCAUUAGUUGCCAGCAUUAAGGUGGGCACUCUAAUGAGACUGCCGGUGAUAAACCGGAGGAAGGUGGGGAUGACGUCAAAUCAUCAUGCCCCUUAUGUCUUGGGCUACACACGUGCUACAAUGGUCGGAACAAAGGGAAGCGAAGAAGCGAUUCGGAGCAAAACCUAAUAAACCGAUCCCAGUUCGGAUUGCAGGCUGCAACUCGCCUGCAUGAAGUCGGAGUUGCUAGUAAUCGCGAAUCAGAACGUCGCGGUGAAUGCGUUCCCGGGUCUUGUACACACCGCCCGUCACACCAUGGAAGUUGAUAAUACCCAAAGUCGAUGAGCUAACCGAAAGGAGGCAGUCGCCUAAGGUAGGAUUAAUGACUGGGGUGAAGUCGUAACAAGGUAGCCGUAUCGGAAGGUGCGGCUGGAUCACCUCCUU